UACGUAGGGGGCAAGCGUUGUCCGGAAUCAUUGGGCGUAAAGAGCGUGUAGGCGGCCAGAUAAGUCCGCUGUGAAAUCUCGAGGCUCAACUUCGAGCUGUCGGUGGAAACUGUCUGGCUAGAGUCCGGAAGAGGAGAAUGGAAUUCCUGGUGUAGCGGUGAAAUGCGCAGAUAUCAGGAAGAACACCCGUGGCGAAGGCGGUUCUCUGGGACGGUACUGACGCUGAGGAACGAAAGCGUGGGGAGCGAACAGG
rnacentral:rRNA from 1 species